rnacentral:rRNA from 1 species
GAUGAACGCUAGCGGCAGGCUUAACACAUGCAAGUCGAGGGGUAAGGUAGCAAUAUCUGAGACCGGCGCACGGGUGCGUAACGCGUAUGCAAUCUACCUUUCACAGAGGGAUAGCCCAGAGAAAUUUGGAUUAAUACCUCAUAGUAUAAUGAUUUGGCAUCAAGACAUUAUUAAAGUCACAACGGUGAAAGAUGAGCAUGCGUCCCAUUAGCUAGUUGGUAUGGUAACGGCAUACCAAGGCGACGAUGGGUAGGGGUCCUGAGAGGGAGAUCCCCCACACUGGUACUGAGACACGGACCAGACUCCUACGGGAGGCAGCAGUGAGGAAUAUUGGACAAUGGGCGCAAGCCUGAUCCAGCCAUGCCGCGUGCAGGAUGACGGUCCUAUGGAUUGUAAACUGCUUUUGCACAGGAAGAAACAACGCUACGUGUAGCGUCUUGACGGUACUGUGAGAAUAAGGAUCGGCUAACUCCG